GAAGGUAUAGCUCAGUGGUAGAGCACAAGCUUAGCAUGCUUGAGGUCCUGGGUUCAAUCUCCAGCAUCUCCA
rnacentral:tRNA from 1 species